CAAUAAACCCGAUAAAAGCGAGCAUCCCGAUUUUUCAUCGGGAUAAAGCGGUUAGCGGGGCUGCUG
rnacentral:sRNA from 1 species